GUAAUUUCAUCAGGCCUGUUCAA
rnacentral:siRNA from 1 species